CCUGUGAUGAUCACCCAAGCCCCAGGCUGUCUUAGCCCCUGGAGUUCAGAAGUCCUCUCUGUAAAGCCUGCCUCCCACUAGGUCAAGAGGAACUAGAGUACCUUUGGAUUUAUCAGGACCCUCAUGUUUAAAUGGUUAUUUCCCUUUGGGAAAACUUCAGAAACUGAUGUAUCAAAUGAGGCCCUGUGCCCUCGAUCUAUUUCCUUCUUCCUUCUGACCUCCUCCCAGGCACUCUUACUUCUAGCCGAACUCUUAGCUCUGGGCAGAUCUCCAAGCGCCUGGAGUGCUUUUUAGCAGAGACACCUCGUUAAGCUCCGGGAUGACCUUGUAGGAGAUCUGUCUCCCUGUGCCUGGAGAGUUACAGCCAGCAAGGUGCCCCCAUCUUAGAGUGUGGUGUCCAAACGUGAGGUGGCUUCCUAGUUACAUGAGGAUGUGAUCCAGGAAAUCCAGUUUGGAGGCUUGAUGUGGGUUUUGACCUGGCCUCAGCCUUGGGGCUGUUUUUCCUUGUUGCCCCGCUCUAGACUUUUAGCAGAUCUGCAGCCCACAGGCUUUUUUGGAAGGAGUGGCUUCCUGCAGGUGUUCCACCUGCCUUCGGAGCCUGCCACCCAGGCCCUCAGAACUGAGCCACAGGCUGCUCUGGCCAGGAGAGAAACAGCUCUGUUGUUCUGCAUUGGGGGAGGUACAUUCCUGCAUCUUCUCACCCCCUCAACCAGGAACUGGGGAUUUGGGAUGAGAUAUGGUCAGACUUGUAGAUAACCCCAAAGAUGUGAAGAUCGCUUGUGAAACCAUUUUGAAUGAAUAGAUUGGUUUCCUGUGGCUCCCUCCAAACCUGGCCAAGCCCAGCUUCCGAAGCAGGAACCAGCACUGUAGGUCUGAACAACUGCCGCAAGACCACUACAUGACUUAGGGAACUUGAAACCAACUGGCUCAUGGAGAAAACAAAUUUGACUUGGGAAAGGGAUUAUGUAGGAAUAAUGUUUGGACUUGAUUUCCCCACGUCAUAAUGAAGAAUGGAAGUUUGGAUCUGCUCCUCGUCAGGCGCAGCAUCUCUGAAGCUUGGAAAGCUGUCUUCCAGCAGCCUCCGUGGCCUCGGGUUCCUACCGGCUUCUCUGCAUUUGGUCUGCUGAUCAUGUUGCCAUAAUGUGUAUGGAAAGUGUAACACAUUCUUACUGGUUAAAGACGACUACCAGGUAUCUAACUUGUUUAACAUUGAGUUUGUGUGUGUGUGUGUAUGUUUGUGUGUUUUGUAUAUUGUUUACAUUUUGAGAGGUAGCAUUCUGUUUCAAAUGCUUUUUGUUUUUCUGACAGUAUUGUUGACUGGGUCAUAACAUUUUGAGCUGUGGUUUGGUGGAUUUUCAAUUUUUUUUUUUAAAGGUCAUUCGCUGUGCUAUCUUCAAAACCUUGAGUUUGGCCCCCAAUUUUUGGCAUUCAAAUGUUUAAAAGCUAUUUAUCUUGGUUUAUACAAGUUUCCUUUCUCUUCUUUUUGUCAUGGUAUUCUAUUUGGUCUGCAGUUUGAAUGUAGAGAAAGUGGACUGAUCCCCCAAGCGUUGUCUGCCCCCACUCUUUCCUCCUUGGGUCCCGCCAUUCUUUUACUGGGCAGUCGAGGGCAUUGGAGGGGAAGUGACUGCCCUCAGCCUCACUCCCUGGGGCCAUGAAGAAAAGCUAAACAGUCUCAUGGCAUCUCAGAAUAAUGUUGGGUCUCCCAAGAAGAAAGGUGUAAGAAUAACGACAUGGCUGAUUAGGCGAGGCCAGGAUAGGGCUAAGGCCAGGAUUCCUGGCUGGCAUCCAGUCACCCCUUCUCCCAUCCUUCCCCCUCUUCUUCCACAAGUCCGCAGCCGAGACACUGUAGUCUCCCAGCCACAGUGAUGAGUGCCCUGGAGACUCCACUGACCUCUAGAUGAAGGCCCCUGGCCCUGGUUCCUGUUAAUUAACCUCUGGGUCUUUGAGUCCCCCAGCACAAACUUCUUUCCUGUACCCUGCGGCUUGGGGUCACAGGGCAUGCCGGGAAGCCACAGCUGAGGGGCGCAGACUGAAGCAGUGCUCCACCUCUCCUUCUUUAGCUCAGGGGUUGCUGGUCUGUGGCAGGCGCCACGAGUGGCCCCUGUGGCUGUUCUCAGUGGCAGUCUCUUAAGUUCCCACCACAGGCAGCUCUUUAUCCCCUCUCCCUACUUGACUCUUUCUCUUGCCUGUGCUUUUGGCCUCAAACAGGCCUGCUGGUAGCGCUCAGGGCGUGAGGCUACACUCCUGCCCUGCCUUUCCUGUCUUCAUGGUCUGCCAGGGCAUACCUUGGGGAGGUGGACCAAAGACCCAGGACUUUUUGCAGUAGCCAGUCCUACCCCCCAGUUGUCUUUUUACCAAUUCAGGGUGGGAGAGAAAACUGCAGCACCCCAGCAUGUGAGUUACUCAGGUGUUGGGGGCUAGAAGGGACAGUGCGUUUAAACAACACUCAGAGCUCUGGCCUUAAACCUGUGGCCCCCCAAGUCUAGGAGCCUCAUCUCUUCCUGGCAGUCAUGCGGGCAGGAGGUCCUGAAAGGGAAAACCCAUUCAGACAACUGUUCCCCAAUCUACCAGCCAUCUGCAGGGGUCAGUGACCGUGGCCCUCUCCCUCCUCUAGAAUGUGCCACUUAUGAAGAGUGCCCCAUGGGGAAAAGGAGACUCAGCUGUCCCUUGGCAGCUUGUGCCAGUAUCCCAGGGCAGAAGUUUCCACAGGAGCCUCUUGCCCUUGCGCAGAGCCACUGUGAGAGGCGGUGGGAGCCAACACCCUUGGGGGAGGGGGCAGUACUGCUCGGCACAUCCCAGCAUCAGGUCAGAUCAUUGAAAUUAAAAAAUGUGAAUUAAGUUCAUAUCCACCUUUUGGGGAAGCAGGACAAACCACCACCCCACCAAGUGUGUGACUUCUCCAUAUCCCACUGCAGUUUCCAUUUUUUAAAUGGGAAUUUUCAAUCCCCUGUGCUUGUCUAACGUCUGCUUUAAAAAGUUUGAGACCCUGUUACUGUUUGAAAAUGCAUGC
rnacentral:lncRNA from 1 species